AUGAACGCUGGCGGCGUGCCUAAUACAUGCAAGUCGCGCGAACAGACGAGGAGCUUGCUCCUCUGACGUUAGCGGCGGACGGGUGAGUAACACGUGGAUAACCUACCUAUAAGACUGGGAUAACUUCGGGAAACCGGAGCUAAUACCGGAUAAUAUAUUGAACCGCAUGGUUCAAUAGUGACAGACGGUUUUGCUGUCACUUAUAGAUGGAUCCGCGCCGCAUUAGCUAGUUGGUAAGGUAACGGCUUACCAAGGCAACGAUGCGUAGCCGACCUGAGAGGGUGAUCGGCCACACUGGAACUGAGACACGGUCCAGACUCCUACGGGAGGCAGCAGUAGGGAAUCUUCCGCAAUGGGCGAAAGCCUGACGGAGCAACGCCGCGUGAGUGAUGAAGGUCUUCGGAUCGUAAAACUCUGUUAUUAGGGAAGAACAAAUGUGUAAGUAACUAUGCACGUCUUGACGGUACCUAAUCAGAAAGCCACGGCUAACUACGUG
rnacentral:rRNA from 1 species